AUUGAACGCUGGCGGAAUGCUUUACACAUGCAAGUCGAGCGGCAGCGCGGGGCAACCUGGCGGCGAGCGGCGAACGGGUGAGUAAUACAUCGGAAUGUGCCCAGACGUGGGGGAUAACUACUCGAAAGAGUGGCUAAUACCGCAUACGAUCUACGGAUGAAAGCGGGGGAUCGCAAGACCUCGCGCGUCUGGAGCGGCUGAUGGCAGAUUAGGUAGUUGGUGGGAUAAAAGCCUACCAAGCCAACGAUCUGUAGCUGGUCUGAGAGGAUGAUCAGCCACACUGGGACUGAGACACGGCCCAGACUCCUACGGGAGGCAGCAGUGGGGAAUUUUGGACAAUGGGCGAAAGCCUGAUCCAGCCAUUCCGCGUGCAGGAUGAAGGCCCUCGGGUUGUAAACUGCUUUUGUACAGAACGAAAAAGCUCUGGCUAAUACCUGGAGUCCAUGACGGUACUGUAAGAAUAAGCACCGGCUAACUACGU
rnacentral:rRNA from 1 species